rnacentral:rRNA from 1 species
GAUCAUGGCUCAGGAUGAACGCUAGCGACAGGCUUAACACAUGCAAGUCGAGAGGCAGCACAGGUAGCAAUACCGGGUGGCGACCGGCGCACGGGUGAGUAACGCGUAUGCAACUUACCUAUCAGAGGGGGAUAACCCGGCGAAAGUUGGACUAAUACCGCAUGAAGCAGGGGCCCCGCAUGGGGAUAUUUGCUAGAGAUUUAUCGCUGAUAGAUAGGCAUGCGUUCCA